rnacentral:rRNA from 1 species
GAUGAACGCUGGCGGCGUGCCUAAUACAUGCAUGUCGAGCGAACAGACGAGGAGCUAGCUCCUCUGACGUUAGCGGCGGACGGGUGAGUAACACGUGGAUAACCUACCUAUAAGACUGGGAUAACUUCGGGAAACCGGAGCUAAUACCGGAUAAUAUAUUGAACCGCAUGGUUCAAUAGUGAAAGACGGUUUUGCUGUCACUUAUAGAUGGAUCCGCGCCGCAUUAGCUAGUUGGUAAGGUAACGGCUUACCAAGGCGACGAUGCGUAGCCGACCUGAGAGGGUGAUCGGCCACACUGGAACUGAGACACGGUCCAGACUCCUACGGGAGGCAGCAGUAGGGAAUCUUCCGCAAUGGGCGAAAGCCUGACGGAGCAACGCCGCGUGAGUGAUGAAGGUCUUCGGAUCGUAAAACUCUGUUAUUAGGGAAGAACAAAUGUGUAAGUAACUAUGCACGUCUUGACGGUACCUAAUCAGAAAGCCACGGCUAACUACGUG